GAGGUCUUGUGGGGCCUUAGCUCAGCUGGGAGAGCGCCUGCUUUGCACGCAGGAGGUCAGCGGUUCGAUCCCGCUAGGCUCCA
rnacentral:tRNA from 1 species